rnacentral:rRNA from 1 species
GACAGAGGGUGCAAACGUUGUUCGGAAUCACUGGGCGUAAAGGGCGCGUAGGCGGCUUUAUAAGUCGGGGGUGAAAGCCUGUGGCUCAACCACAGAAUUGCCUUCGAUACUGUAGAGCUUGAGACCGGAAGAGGUAAGUGGAACUGCGAGUGUAGAGGUGAAAUUCGUAGAUAUUCGCAAGAACACCAGUGGCGAAGGCGCCACUCUGGGCCGAAACUGACGCUGAGGAGCGAAAGCGUGGGUAGCAAACAGG